UACGGAGGGAGCUAGCGUUGUUCGGAAUUACUGGGCGUAAAGCGCACGUAGGCGGCUUUGCAAGUUAGAGGUGAAAGCCCGGGGCUCAACUCCGGAAUUGCCUUUAAAACUGCAUCGCUAGAAUUGUGGAGAGGUAAGUGGAAUUCCGAGUGUAGAGGUGAAAUUCGUAGAUAUUCGGAAGAAACUCCAAGUGGCGAAGGCGACUACUGGACACAUAUUGACGCUGAGGUGCGAAAGCGUGGGGAGCAAACA
rnacentral:rRNA from 1 species